AAGUCGAACGGUGUCUUCGGACACAGUGGCGGACGGGUGAGUAACGCGUGAGAAUCUGCCUCUAGGUUGGGGACAACAGUUGGAAACGACUGCUAAUACCCGAUGUGCCGCAAGGUAAAAGAUUUAUUGCCUGGAGAGGAGCUCGCGUCUGAUUAGCUAGUUGGUGGGGUAAAAGCCCACCAAGGCAGCGAUCAGUAGCUGGUCUGAGAGGAUGAGCAGCCACACUGGGACUGAGACACGGCCCAGACUCCUACGGGAGGCAGCAGUGGGGAAUUUUCCGCAAUGGGCGAAAGCCUGACGGAGCAAUACCGCGUGAGGGAGGAAGGCCUUUGGGUUGUAAACCUCUUUUCUCAGGGAAGAAGAUCUGACGGUACCUGAGGAAUAAGCAUCGGCUAACUCCGUGCCAGCAGCCGCGGUAAUACGGAGGAUGCAAGCGUUAUCCGGAAUCAUUGGGCGUAAAGCGUCCGCAGGUGGUUUUUCAAGUCUGCUGUUAAAGACUGGAGCUCAACUCCGGAAAGGCAGUGGAAACUGGAAGACUAGAGUUCGGUAGGGGUAGCGGGAAUUCCCAGUGUAGCGGUGAAAUGCGUAGAUAUUGGGAAGAACAUCGGUGGCGAAGGCGCGCUACUGGACCGAAACUGACACUCAGGGACGAAAGCUAGGGGAGCGAAAGGGAUUAGAUACCCCUGUAGUCCUAGCUGUAAACGAUGGAAACUAGGUGUGGCUUGUAUCGACCCGAGCCGUGCCGUAGCUAACGCGUUAAGUUUCCCGCCUGGGGAGUACGCACGCAAGUGUGAAACU
rnacentral:rRNA from 1 species